rnacentral:rRNA from 1 species
UCUCCCAGUAACGGCGAGUGAACGGAGAAAAGCCCAGCGCUAAAUCAAAAUAGUCUCGUCGAUUAUUUUGAACUGUAGCGUAUAGGUGCAAUUUGUCCAAAUGUUCUGUGCACUCAAAGUCCCCUUGAGCGGGGCCACAGUCCAUAGAAGGUGCUAGACCUGUACGGGUGGCAGAAUAUUUGGUUGAUUGCUCCUUGGAGUCGAGUUGCCUGAGAUCGCAGCUCAAAGUGGGUGGUAAAUCUCAUCUAAGGCUAAAUAUGGCUACGAGACCGAUAGCAAACAAGUACCGCGAGGGAAAGUUGAAAAGAACUCUGAGAAGAGAGUUAAACGAGGGCGUGAAACCGCUGGGAUGGAAACGAAUAGAGUUGACGAAACUCACCGUCAUUCAACCGAUUAACUCAACGGUCUUUCAUUUUUUGUUCAAAAACCUGCAGAGGUUCGGGUAUGCAUGAAACACUGCAUAUUUUGGCACUGUGGGAUUGAAAUGAAAUGUACCGUUUUGAGUCAAACACAGUGUGUGCAAAAACAAUGAACUGCUGUGUAAUCGGUGCAUUUGAUGGUGGUACGCGCCGAGAGCCGCGUUACUGUACAACGAAGUGUCCCAGAUGUAGUGGAGCGUAUGGGCAACUGUACGUUAACCUACAUACAUGGAAGUGUAUCGUGUGAUGCGGUUGAAAAAUUUCUUUUUGCAAACUUUCGCCAGGCUUAUUGUUGCUUGGUGCGUUGCCAUUGUGUCUGAUUGGUUCUAACUGUGCAUAAUUGAAAUCAAUGUAAAUUAUGCAUGCGUGGGUAUUGUGCUCUUUAAAUAGGACUGAUCGCACAAUGGUUUCCGGUGUACGUGAGUUGUGUUUUUGCGCGCGACAAACGUACAUGAACGCGUUGAGGUUGCAUCUCGGUGUGAGCGUCGAUCACCUAUUCGACCCGUCUUGAAACACGGACCAAGGAGUCUAGCAUAUGCGCAAGUUAUUUGGUGGUAAACCAUAAAAACGUAAUGAAAGUAAACAUUGCCGUUUGGUGCAAUGCGAUAUGUGAGCUGUGUGUAUGAUGAUGAUUCAAUAAUUUUGUGUCAAAAUUGUACACAUGGUGCAACAUAGCCCCGUUCUGAUUGCUCGCAAUAGGGCGGAGGUAGAGCGUAUAUGCUGGGACCCGAAAGAUGGUGAACUAUGCCUGAGCAGGAUGAAGCCAGAGGAAACUCUGGUGGAGGUCCGAAGCGAUUCUGACGUGCAAAUCGAUCGUCUGACUUUGGUAUAGGGGCGAAAGACUAAUCGAACCAUCUAGUAGCUGGUUCCCUCUGAAGUUUCCCCCAGGAUAGCUGGAGCACGUAAAAGAGCAGUUAUAUUCGGUAAAGCGAAUGAUUAGACGUAUUGGGAACGAAACGUUCUCAACCUAUUCUCAAACUUUCAAUGGGUAUGAAGUUCCGCUUGCUUAAAAUUGAACGGUUUCUUUUCAUCACUGGAAAGAAAUUGUGAAGCGAGAACAUUGAAUGUGUGCUCCAAGUGGGCCAUUUUUGGUAAGCAGAACUGGCGCUGUGGGAUGAACCAAACGUCGAGAUAAAGUGCCAAACUUUUCGCUCAUGAGACCCCAUGAAAGGCGUUGGUUGAUAUAGACAGCAGGACGGUGGCCAUGGAAGUCGGAAGCCGCUAAGGAGUGUGUAA